rnacentral:rRNA from 1 species
AUGUUUUUCUUCGCUGUUACAAGGUUGCGCACAAACCGUACGAAAUGUCACAAGCUGAUGUUUCAAAAUGAAGAAUGUGAUGCCAGUGUUGGUUCUAUUGCUAAAGCGUUUGUCCCCACUGGCAUGCUUAACUCAGACAGUGCUGACGUUGUUUUAUAUUCUCUACGUCAGAAGUACCGAGACACUGACAAGUUGGUAGUUCCCAGAUGGCUUCUUUUCCCAACUUUUGAUCCGCCGUCAUUUGCGGCUCCCAUGAAGCCUAGCGACAUAUCUGGGCAUUGGUGCUUGAUUGUUCUGAAUUUGAGGUUCCGUCGUUUUGAGUGUCUUGAUUCACUGCGCGAUGAAACCUGGAGUGAUGCAGUUAGAUUCUUAAGGACUAUGACAGAUAACAUCAAGAAGCUUUGGAGGGAGUCCAGCAUAGACAGGGCCAAACCAUUCUCGCCGGUGCAUAUUGAUGGUUUCUCUUGCAAGUUUGUGCUGGUGCCGCAGCAGAAAAACAUCCAUGAAGACAUUCUUGACAUUAGGAAGACUUUCCUGUAUACCUGCGCAACUAGUGAUCUGUUUGAUGUUGACUUCCGUGGUUUGUUUUUCAUUAAACCCUGUGAGUGGCUGGAUCUUGAUGAGCAUGACUACAGGAUCUUUGGCAGCCAGUUCUCGGAAAGGUCUGGUGUUAUUAAGGGGCGGUUGGGAGCUCUAAAAGGUUCUAUGGCUGCUUGUGCAGAGAGCCCCUCUACACCCAAGAAUCCCAUUGUGGAAUUGAUAGAUAGCGAUGAUGAUGCGUUUGACAAGAUUGUUGGCAUGGGAAGAGUCACCAGGAGCGCUGCUGCUGCCAAGGGUUUAUCCCCACUUGCUGGAAUAGUGGCCCGUAGAGCUGGUGGUGCUAGGAAGGAUCCUACUUUGGAUUCUGGCAAUGUUACAAGCACGAAGCAUGCACCCAGAGCUCCUAUAAAGUUUUGCUCCCCUGUGCAGCAGCUUCACCCUCAUAAAUUCCCUCACCUGGAGAAGGCUCGCAAGUUGCAUAAUCUGUUGCUUAGCGAUGAAGCAUGUGAGAAGUAUGCCGAGAAUACAUUCUCAAUGAUACCUCAAUCCGAUGAUAGCGUAACCAGCUUCACUAGGAAACGCAUCUGGGAAGUUUUGGCACCUGGGCAAAUGAUGGAGGGUGAUGUAAUGGACUUCCUCAUUGAUGAUUGGAAGAAAGAUGCCGAUAGAAAUGUUGAUUUUGCAUUUGGGAAAAGGGUAUUGCUAAGUCCAUAUUUCAUCACGGUUGUGCUUGACUGUACGUUUUACGGUGAUGAAAAUAAAGAGUUUAAUGUGAAGAGUGCAGCGAGAGAUUUCAAGAGCUAUGUUAAAGAUAAUGAAGACUUGCUCAGUGUCGACCUUAUCUCCAGGAUGGUCCAAGUAAUGAAGGAUGUUAUGGUGAUGCUUAGUACAAUGCGAGCAAGCAGCCCAAAUGGGAGCUUUUUGCAAAGAAACCAAUGUUUGUGA